rnacentral:rRNA from 1 species
AGCGAACGCUGGCGGCAGGCCUAACACAUGCAAGUCGAACGAACCUUUCGGGGUUAGUGGCGGACGGGUGUGUAACACGUGGGAACGUGCCUUUAGGUUCGGACUACCUAAGGGAAACUUGUGCUAAUACCGAAUGUGCCCUUCGGGGGAAAGAUUUUUCGCCCUUCGAGGGGCCUGCGUCGGAUUAGCUAGUUGGUUGAGGUAAUGGUUCACCAAGGCGACGUUCAGUAGCUGGUAUGAGAGGAUGAUCAGCCACAUUGGGACUGUGACACGGCCCAAACUCCUACGGGAGGGAGCAGUGGGGAAUCUUGCGCAAUGGGCGAAAGCCUGACGCAGCCAUGCCGCGUGAAUGAUGAAGGUCUUAGGAUUGUAAAAUUCUUUCACCGGGGACGAUAAUGACGGUACCCGGAGAAGAAGCCCCGGCUAACUUCGUG